AAGCAUCUAAGCGGGAAACCUGCCCUAAGAUUAGAUCCCCCAAACCUUGUGUUUGUAAGACCGCAGACAGACUAUCUGCUUGAUAGGCGACCAGGUGUAAGCACAGUAAUGUGUGAGCCUAGGCGUACUAAUGGUCGAGAGGCUUCACCA
rnacentral:rRNA from 1 species